rnacentral:rRNA from 1 species
UCCCAGCGCCACAAGUGGAAGUCACGUUUAUUGAGUCUAAAGCGUCCGUAGCCGACUUAUUAACUCUUUUGUGAAAUUGUUGAGCUUAACUCAGCAUCGUGCAAAAGAAACUGAUAAGUUAGGGACCGGGAAGAGAUAAGGGAAUUCUUAGGGGAGCGGUAAAAUGCUUUAAUCCUAAGAGGACCACCAAUGGCAAAGGCACUUAUCUAGAACGGGUCCGACGGUGAGGGCACGAAGGCUAGGGGAGCGA